rnacentral:lncRNA from 1 species
CUUGGUAAUGCAAUUUGGACACAUAGAAAUGGACACUUCCACCAUAGGUUAUCUCUUACACCCCGUAGAGAGGCAGACAUUUCUGAACCAAUAAAAACUUGAAGGAUCACGAAUAACUUCUGAGUGCCUGUGGCCUCAGAAUAACUUCUGAUAAUGAUGCUGUUCUCUUCUGAAAGUGUACUUGUAAGGAAGGCAAAGCCUGGAAAGGUCACUGAGCGGUCAUCUCAUUGGUCAACAGAGAAAGCUGAAGAGUGGGACAUUCCUCUAUCCUGAAACAGUGACCUGGGAUGCCGGGCCUGAGGUAGUCUAGUUAUGGCACUUUCAAGGUAGCCCCUGUUUUGUCAAAGGCAUCUUUGGCUUGUUUCAUAUUUUAAAUUAAAGUAAAAAUUUUAAA